AUGCUGGGAAAGGUUGAAUCUCAUUGGUGGAUGCUGGGAAAGGUUGAAUCUCAUUGGUGGAUGCUGGGAAAGGUUGAAUCUCAUUGGUGGAUGCUGGGAAAGGUUGAAUCUCAUUGGUGGAUGCUGGGAAAGGUUGAAUCUCAUUGGUGGAUGCUGGGAAAGGUUGAAUCUCAUUGGUGGAUGCUGGGAAAGGUUGAAUCUCAUUGGUGGAUGCUGGGAAAGGUUGAAUCUCAUUGGUGGAUGCUGGGAAAGGUUGAAUCUCAUUGGUGGAUGCUGGGAAAGGUUGAAUCUCAUUGGUGGAUGCUGGGAAAGGUUGAAUCUCAUUGGUGGAUGCUGGGAAAGGUUGAAUCUCAUUGGUGGAUGCUGGGAAAGGUUGAAUCUCAUUGGUGGAUGCUGGGAAGGGUU